AGCAAUCUCUCAUUCACGAGGAGCCGCUUACUCUUGAAAGCCCAGCUGUCUUGCAAGAGGUGCCGCACAGGGUAGGAAGAGUUGGGAGCGAACAGCCUGAGGAAGUGGACUGUGGAAGCUGAAGGUUGUCCAGCCAAAGCUGAGUGUGUGGCUCUGACACUGACCAAGGCUGGAAAGAGUUACUGUGUGGACAGAGAAUGUUAGAGCCAGGUGAGCUUUCACAGGAUGAAAGGAGCGAGGAGAGAAUCGAAUGGAAAGAAUUGCUGAGAUCAGGUUUGAGCCCUUUCUUUGGGUUUGGGAUUUGUUUUGGUUUUUUUGUUACCCAACACUGCUUAGCAUUACUACUGUGAGAUUUAAAGUUUUCUCCAAAAACUCAGAAUUAAUUUCCCCACUCUGCCCCACUGGUAGGCACCGCAUCUCUUAGAAAAGCUCCUACCCACCAUCUUCACUGCCCCAGUUUGAAGUAGUGCUCCAGUUUAGCCCGUAGUAAUGGGUCUUACAUCCCUUUCUGUUCAGGUAACUACACCAUUUUGUUAUUGACAUAUCUGCCAGAGGAGCCUACAUUACUCCAGUGUAAUUUGUGAGGCAGUUUCUGCUCUAACAAGUUUUUGAAUGCUGCUCAACUGCAAGAGAGCUCCUUCUGGAUGUUUGAAGGUGACAGAAGAGAUGGUCGCAUCCCAGGAGCUUGAUUUUGGAAUGUUUAAUGGAAUUGGCCCAGUAGCUUUUACUUGUGGGCUUUGCAAGUCUGCCCACAGCAGGUCCAGCCUGUGCUUCAACUUAGAGCCCUCAGUGGGCAGGGAAAUGGACCUUGGAGAGAUUGUUACAGCUCUACUUAACGCUUUCUGAAUUGGGAUGAUUUUCUGGAAGUAGGCUGUCCAUUCUGACCCAUUUUCUUCUCUCUCCUUGCAGACUGUAGCUGCUAAAAGGCUGAGGUGAGACCAGGAUCUGCAAAAUCUCUGACUCUCCAUGUCUUCCCAAGGCUGAAGCCGUGUUUGCUGUCAAUGACAACCCAGUGGAAGAUGCUAAAGACUGAAAACUUUGGGGUUUUUCCCCUGAAUCCCAUGACACUCUCUGCAGCUGUGCCCUGCAUAUCUCUUAAAAGAGUUUCCGGCUUUAGAAGGGUUUUACCCUGUGCAAUAUUGAUCUAUAAGUCAAUGAAAAAGAAUCUUACUGUAUCAAUGUGAUGUUACUUGGUUUGAGUUGUUUAAUUAAAGCAUAUCAUUGAUAAGGGGUUUGAGAAUCCCUUGGACGGCCCUUGGGGCUGGCAGCUCUGAUUUAUUUUCUCUUCA